UUGAGCUGAGGAUGAUUAAAGUUAUCCCUGUCUGAAAUGACAUUUUUUGUAGAGUCCUGACUUACUGAGGCUCAA
rnacentral:snoRNA from 1 species